rnacentral:rRNA from 1 species
UACGGAGGGGGCUAGCGUUGUUCGGAAUUACUGGGCGUAAAGCGCACGUAGGCGGCUUUGCAAGUUAGAGGUGAAAGCCCGGGGCUCAACUCCGGAAUUGCCUUUAAAACUGCAUCGCUAGAAUUGUGGAGAGGUAAGUGGAAUUCCGAGUGUAGAGGUGAAAUUCGUAGAUAUUCGGAGGAACACCAGUGGCGAAGGCGGCUCACUGGUCCGGUACUGACGCUGAGGUGCGAAAGCGUGGGGAGCAAACAGG